AGGGAGCUGCUGAGGGAAACAGGUGUGUCUUCCCUGCUGCUGGAGUGGGAUGCUGAAGAGAACCACAGCUGUCCCAAGGGCCUGCAUGAGCCUCCAGAGAUCCCUGCCACUUCUUACACUGAGGAGCUGCUUCCACUACCCUUGGCCAUAUAUCUCCAGGGAGACUGAGGAUGACCCCUGGAUGCAGGUGACUAGAGAGAGCAUUCCCUUUCACAAGCAUCUGGAGUUCCCAGAAAGCAAUCCCAAAUUUAUAAUAUCACAGGCUGAGAGGCUCAUUAUCUGAUAUGCAUCUUCAAGCUUGAAGCUGAUUAAACCAUCCAACACUAAAAUCCAAGCAGCAUUUCUGAUACCAUGUUUCAGCAGAAGCUUUUAAAGUAACAACAGAGUCAAAUUACUUGUUCACUAAAUUGGCAUGGAAAAAACAUAAGCCUCGUUAUUAUUUUGUUCUAUAAUAAAAGUCAGCCAAGAAGAAUCAACAGUAUCUACAGACAAGAGACAGUUUUUCAUAAAAGAUGUUCAGAGAACUAAGAUAUUAUUAUUAUUUAUUUAUACAGCACCAUAAGUGUUCAUAUUUCUUGCGCCUGAUCCAAAGCUCACUGCAGUCAAUGACAGUUUGUCCGUUUACUUGAAUGGGCAUUGGAUCCAGCCCAGAAGGUAAGAUAAGAUAGAUGAAUGGGCAUGACCUUAUCUAGAACAGAAAAUAAAUUACAUUUAUGUAAUGCUGUGGAAAUAAAGCUCUGACUAA